rnacentral:lncRNA from 1 species
GUACCUCUACUCUCUCUCUUCUUCUCCGGUUCGUUUCUUCCCUCUGGUUCGGCGCUGGUUUUUCCGGUUCGUAGCUUGCCUCUCCUUGGUUCAGUCCGUAGCUUUGCUCCUUGGUUCGGAUUUGGUUUUGUUUUGGUUCGUGCUUGCUUGCUUUGAUUCGUGUUGGUUAUUGCUUUUUGUUCGUGUUGGUUGUUGUUGUUGUUAUUGAGUAAGGUAUUUGAAGUUAUGGUGUUGGAACAGUAGAAAAUUAGGGUUUGUGAAUUGCUGCUGAUUUUCU